CUAGUUCACAGUUUUGAAAUAAUCACGUAACAAAAUAUUUCAGGUUAACGAAGAAAAUUGAGAAAUAAUUUUAGAAAAACGAAUGAUGUCAAGGGAGGAAUGCCAAUCUAAUCCCGAGUUGUUAUCUAAAUAAAACGCCUGAUAAGAUGGGGGAAAACUUUGGUUUUACAAGUCGUAAAAAUGUAAUUGAACUAGAAUUUAAUUUUGGAGAUUAUUACAGUUAGCAUCGGCUAUCUGAUCUCUGUCAUCUGUUGAGUCUAUAUACUUUGCAUGUCCAGAUUAAAUAUUUAAAGUAAAUUUUAAAAGCCAAAGAAUCCACAUCCGUUUGGUUAAUGACUAAAAUGUGUCACGGUCCCGUUGUUGUGCCAAUUUUAUUUAUUUGGUUUGAGGUUUUUUCUUCUUUUCUUUUCCGUCAUUGCCCCGGCCGUUUCGUCUGUUUGCAGCGCCCUCUCUCGUGUUGUCGCACCUCGUUCCCAGUUGUUGCCGAACCUCAUUUCUUUAAAGGAAAGAACGCCAUGCAGAAGCAAAACUAGACUACUAGCGGCAACCUAUUAUUUUUCAACAGAAACACCCCUCUAGAAUCUACAUGGAUAGCAGAGAGA